UACAGAGGAUGCAAGCGUUGUUCGGAAUUACUGGGCGUAAAGGGCGCGUAGGCGGUUCGUUAAGUCCGGUGUGAAAUCCCCCGGCUCAACUGGGGAACUGCACAGGAAACUAGCGGGCUUGAGUUCGGGAGAGGGAAGCGGAAUUCCGGGUGUAGCGGUGAAAUGCGUAGAUAUCCGGAGGAACACCGGUGGCGAAGGCGGCUUCCUGGACCGACACUGACGCUGAGGCGCGAAAGCUAGGGGAGCAAACGGG
rnacentral:rRNA from 1 species